rnacentral:tRNA from 1 species
GGUGUUACAACUCAGUGGUAGAGCACUCGCCUAACAUGUGUGAGGCCCUGGGUUCAAUUCUCAGUACCACAU